rnacentral:rRNA from 1 species
UACGUAGGGGCAAGCGUUGUCCGGAAUCAUUAGGCGUAAAGAGCGUGUAGGCGGCCCGGUAAGUCCGCUGUGAAAGUCCAGGGCUCAACCCCGGGAGGCGGGCGGAUACUGUCGGGCUAGAGUCCGGAAGAGGCGAGUGGAAUUCCUGGUGUAGCGGUGAAAUGCGUAGAUAUCGAGAGGAACACCUGCGGCGAAGGCGGGUUGCUGGGCCGACACUGACGCUGGAUGCGCGAAAGCCAGGGAGCGAACGGG